rnacentral:rRNA from 1 species
GCUCACUGACAAUUUAAAGAGCCGCAGUAUCCUAACUGUGCUAAGGUAGCAUAAUCAUUAGUCUUUUAAUUGGGGACUGGUAUGAAUGGCUUAACGAGAAAUUAACUUUUUUUGCUAUUAUAAUUGAAUUUAAUUUUUUAGUGAAAAAGCUAAAAUGUUUCAGAAAGACGAGAAGACCCUAUAGAGUUUUAUAUAAAUUUAUAUCUUUUCUUAAUAGAUUUAAAAAGAAUAAGUAUAAAUAAGUAUUUUGUUGGGGCGACAUUAAGAUAAAUAAAACUCUUUAUUUUUAAAAUUUUUAUGAAAAUAUUUAUGAUCCUUUAAAAGAGAUCAAAAGAAAAAAUUACCUUAGGGAUAACAGCGUAAUCUUUUUUUAGAGUUCUAAUCGACAAAAAGGUUUGCGACCUCGAUGUUGGACUAAAAUUUAGGCAGGGUGCAGCAGUUCUGCUUUUAGGUCUGUUCGACCUAUAAUA